GCACGUAGUUAGCCGUGGCUUACGCAAGGUACCGUCGUACUGCGGGAUUAUUCAGCCCGCAGCUCUCUUCCCUUGCUUGUGAGGUUUACAUCCCGAAGGAUUUCCUCCCUCACGCGGCGUUGCUGGGUCAGGCUUUCGCCCAUUGCCCAAAAUUCCCCACUGCUGCCUCCCGUAGGAGUCUGGCCCGUGUGUCAGUGCCAGUGUGGCUGGCCGUCCUCUCAGACCAGCUACAGAUCGCAGCCUUGGUGAGCCAUUACCUCACCAACUAGCUAAUCUGCCGCAGGCUCCUCUUCAGGCGCGAGGUCUUACGAUCCCCCGCUUUAACAACUAAUCACCAUUAGGUGCCGCUGCAUUAUGCGGUAUUAGCCCAAGUUUCCCUGGGUUAUUCCCCACCCGAAGGCAGAUUACCCACGUGUUACUCACCCGGACGCCACUCUACUUACCCCCGAAGGGGCUUUCGCGUUCGACUUGCAUGUGUUAGGCACGCCGCCAGCGUUGAUU
rnacentral:rRNA from 1 species